AUGGACGGCAUCGAGGGGCUCCUGGCGAGGGACUUUGGAGUGCGGCCGCAGGGCAAGGCCGCGCCCAUGGCCGCCGCCCGCGGCGGUGGAUCCGCCUGGCCCAACCCCAGAUCCACCCCCGCCCCGUCCUACGACGGCCUCUUCGGCGCGCCCGUCCCCGCGGCCUCCGCCUCCGGUCCUCCCCUCGACUCGAUCUUCGACUCGUUCAAGGGACCCUCCUCAUCGUCGGCGGCGGCAGCUGGAACCAAGCCGCUGUUCGACGACGACUUCUUCGAACCGGUCCGCGGGACGAGGGCCUCCAACUCCACGUACGACAGUGACGGCGUGUUCGGGACGGGGGCGGCGGCGGCUCCCGCGUACGACGUGUUCACGAGCAGCAACCGCUCGGCACCGCCUUCCUAUGACGACUUCCUAGGGGGCUUCGGCGGGAAGCCGCAAGCGGAGGAGAUAAAGAGGUCGGUGGUGGUCGAGGACGACGACGACCUGCUGGGAGGGUUCGGAAUGAAGCCGGCCAGGGAGAAGAAGUCGGUGGUGGAGGAGGACCAGCAGGGCAACGGGUUCGAUGAUCUGAUCCCAGGUUUCGCCAGUAGCAGCCCGCCAAAGAGUAGGAACACUAAUGAAGAUAACAAAAAGAAGCCAGCAGUUCCAGCUUCAAAAUCAACAGCCAGCUUCGUAGAUGAUCCAUUUGUUGUCCUAGAAAGAGUUCCUGUUCCAGGUUCCGCAUAUCCAUCCCCGGGGAGAUUCACAGAUCCCUUGGAAGAUCUUGAUAAGUCUGCAAACACUGAAGGCAAGAAUGUGGAUAGUGCUGCUGCUGCUGAUAGUUUAUUUGAGGAUUCAAGUGCUUUUGACCAGGCCCCAAAAUCAGAUCCUUUGUUUACCUCGGAAAUCAAUGGCGACACCAAGGAUAGUCAUCUACACAGCAAAUCCCAAGGGUCAAGUUCUGUACAAAGUUCAGUGAAGAGAAAUCCAGCAAGCAGAUCUCUGGAGGACUUCGGAAAUGACAUGCCAAAACCACAAUCUGCAAGGUACUCUGAUAUUCAUGUCGAUGACAGUUCAGAGAGAUACAGUGGCAAUGGUAUGGAUAAUCAGUCACCGAUAUCUACUGAAUCCGAAGACGAUAUAUGGCUUACAGUUUCUGAGAUCCCUCUCUUCACACGGCCAACUAGUGCUCCGCCACCUUCCAGAUCACCGCCACUUCUUAAACAAAAACCCCUGGGUGCAAAAGCAAAUGUAGAAGAUGAUGAGUAUGUGUCACAGUCCAGCCAAAAGCACAACCAGUACAAAGAUACGCCCGAGCAAGCAGAUGAUUCUUCAGUAGAUGAAUCAGAAGGUGUUGCCAUGGGAAAGCAUCAGAUGCCUGCUUAUUAUGAUAAAAAUGCUUUUGAUGAUGACGAAGAGUUUGAUUCAAAUUCAUCAGCUCGUGAAGAGAGAGAAAGCCAGGAAAGAUUGGAACAUGCGCGAGAAAUGAGACUAAGGGAGGAACAGCGAAGACUUGAAAAGGAGAGGGUAUUGGAACAGCAAAGAGAGAAACAAGCUGUUGAGAGGGCUACGAAGGAGGCACGGGAGAGAGCAGCUGCUGAAGCUCGUGCAAAAGCUGAAAGGGAUGCCCGCCAACGCUCACAGCGUGCUGCUGUGCAGAGGGCUCAUCAGGAAGCCCGUGAGAGGGCUGCAGCUGAGGCUAAAGAUAGGGUUGCAAGGGCUGCUGCAGAAGAAAGGGAGAGGGCUGCUGCAGAAGAAAGGGAGAGGGCUGCUGCUGAAGCCAGGGAAAGGGAGAGGACUGCUGCUAGGGAGAGGGCUGCAGCAGAAAGAGCUGCUGCGGAGAGAGUUCAGCAAGAAGCAAGGAAGAGAGCUGAGCGAGCUGUGGUGGAAAGAGCUGCUGCUGAGGCUCGACAAAGGCAGGCAGCAGCAGCUGCGGCGGCGGCAAAAGAAAAACACAGCACACCAAAUGAUGUUGAGUCCUUCUUUCGUAUGGAUGCUCGAGAUACUAGUGCAGCAAAGCAGAGGGCCCCAACACCAACAGCGGACUCUAUGUUUGAUUCUCAACCACAAGAUAGAGGAACAGUUAAUGGAUCACAGAGAACAGCCUCUACCUCGGCCUCUACCAGAAAAACAAACCCACCAUCAGCCACAAAUAUUUUUGGCAAUGGUCUAUCUGACUUAUUUGAAUUUGAAAGUACCCGAUCAUCAUCUGACGCAUUUCAAGAUGUUGAGGGGGAGAGUGAAGAAAGAAGACGUGCUAGGUUAGAACGUCAUCAGAGGACCCGUGAGCGAGCGGCAAAAGCUUUGGCUGAGAAGAAUGAACGAGAUAUGCAGGUUCAGAGGGAACAAGCAGAAAGAGAUAGAAUUGGUGACUCAUUAGACUUUGAAAUUAAGAGGUGGGCUGCUGGAAAAGAGGGCAACUUGCGUGCUUUACUAUCAACUCUGCAAUAUAUACUUUGGCCAGAGUGUGGAUGGCAAGCUGUAUCCUUGACCGAUUUGAUUACUGGUGCUGCUGUUAAAAAGCAGUACAGAAAGGCAACGUUAUGCAUCCAUCCUGAUAAGGUGCAACAGAAGGGUGCGACUCUUCAACAGAAAUAUAUUGCUGAGAAGGUCUUUGACAUGCUCAAGGAGGCAUGGAACAAAUUCAAUUCUGAAGAGCUGUUUUAA
rnacentral:rRNA from 1 species